AACGGCGAAGUGAAGCGGCAAAAGCUCAAAUUUGAAAUCUGGCCCCGUCAGGGGUCCGAGUUGUAAUUUGGAGAGGAUACUUCGGGUGUGGCCGUGGCUUAAGUCCCUUGGAACAGGGCGUCAUAGAGGGUGAGAAUCCCGUCUUGAGUCACCGGUCCACGCCCAUGCGAAGUUCCUUCGACGAGUCGAGUUGUUUGGGAAUGCAGCUCUAAGUGGGUGGUAAAUUUCAUCUAAAGCUAAAUAUUGGCUGGAGACCGAUAGCGCACAAGUAGAGUGAUCGAAAGGUUAAAAGCACCUUGAAAAGGGAGUUAAAUAGCACGUGAAAUUGUUGAAAGGGAAGCGCUUGCAACCAGACUCGAGCGCAGGGUUCAGCGGGCAUGCGUGCCCGUGUACUCCCUGUGCUCGGGCCAGCAUCAGUUUCGGCGGUUGGUUAAAGGCCUCUGGAAUGUAUCGUCCUCCGGGACGUCUUAUAGCCAGAGGCGCAAUGCGGCCAGCCGGGACUGAGGAACGCGCUUCGGCACGGAUGCUGGCAUAAUGGUUGUAAGCGGCCCGUCUUGAAACACGGACCAAGGAGUCUAACAUCCACGCGAGUGUUCGGGUGUCAAACCCGUGCGCGCAGUGAAAGCGAACGGAGGUGGGAGCCCAUCAGGGUGCACCAUCGACCGAUCCUGAAGUCUUCGGAUGGAUUUGAGUAAGAGCGUGGCUGUUGGGACCCGAAAGAUGGUGAACUAUGCCUGAAUAGGGUGAAGCCAGAGGAAACUCUGGUGGAGGCUCGCAGCGGUUCUGACGUGCAAAUCGAUCGUCAAAUUU
rnacentral:rRNA from 1 species